GAUGAAGACGUAGCGAAAUGCGAUAAGUAAUGUGAAUUGCAGAAUUCAGUGAAUCAUCGAAUCUUUGAACGCACAUUGCGCCCCCUGGUAUUCCGGGGGGCAUGCCUGUCCGAGCGUCAUUACAACCCUCAAGCUCAGCUUGGUAUUGGGCCCCGCCGACCCGGCGGGCCCUAAAGUCAGUGGCGGUGCCGUCCGGCUCCGAGCGUAGUAAUUCUUCUCGCUCUGGAGGUCCGGUCGUGUGCUCGCCAGCAACCCCCAAUUUUUUUCAGGUUGACCUCGGAUCAGGUAGGGAUACCCGCUGAACUUAAGCAUAUCAAUAAGCGGAGGA
rnacentral:misc_RNA from 1 species